rnacentral:lncRNA from 1 species
AAUACGCAUAUAUUAAAAAGCGGAAACCACAGAACAUGCAUAUAUGACUGGAAUGUGCAUAUAUUAAGAAGCAGAAAUGCAGUUGGAUGCGCACAUCUUGAAAAGCGGAGGGUGAAAGGCGAGGAGAACUUCGCAAGCCCCGGCUGGGGACUCCGAAAGAGACCGGCUUUGAUUGCUAGAGUUUGGAAAGGCUUCCCUCUUGGAGAGAUGCAGGAAGGCGCUGGACGACACGGUUCCCUCAGCACUCCUCCAUAUCUGACUUUUCAGUUAGAAUUUUCCUCAGUUCCCGCUCAAGAUAGAAUCCAGGCUGCUGCUUAUCUUACAGUGGAAGCUGGACCAUUUCGAUUCCAUACUGCUCUGCACUGGUGUUUUCAUGCUUCUUGGUAA